ACUUGUCCCUGCACAGGACAGAAGGGGUUGGAACUGAAUUGAUUAUUGAUUAUCUUUGAUAAUUUGAAUUAUCAAAUUAUCUUGAUUUGGAUGCCUUCCAAAUCAAACCAUGCUGUGAUUGAAAUGGAGUACUUGGGAAUAGAGCACAGUGAAAACAAAGCUUCUCAUGGAACAAGACCUCCAUGAGUACUAUCCAUUAUACCUGUCUUUACGUUUUAGUUUAUUAGUAUCAAAUCUCUUUGACUUCCUAAAAUUUAUUUUUCCAUUUCCUCUCGCUAUCUGGCCAAACUUAGUCUAUAGAAACUUGUCUUAUCCUUUUUAUCAUUCUCGAACUUGAGAGCCACAUGUUAAUCAGCCAGAGAAGGCUGGUUGUCUAGAGUUCAGGCAAAAAAUACUAAAAGGAAUUAUUGGUACCUACUUGAUUUCUGGGGCCACAAAGAACUUCUCUGUCCUUCUUCAGUUUCAAGCUGAUAUUCCUAGAUUCACCAAAUCUCUUAGGAAAACUGUCAUGCCUGAUGAAGAACCUUCCAGUGGCACACAGUGGGAGCAUGCCAGGCUCUUGUACCGCUUUCCUUUGCAGUUUCAGGCAGGUGGGGCUGGGCAAGGGGUAGGGUAGAGCACUGGCAAGGAGAGAAAUGGCAGUCAGUGGUUCUGCCAGCCUCCUCCACACAGAAUUUAACAUGGCAGGGUGUUGGAGAUCCAGGCACAGAAAAUGUCCCUUUAUCUAUGCUGUCAGGCUCAGGCACCUGAGAGAACACUGUGUUUAAUUUAAGACCAUGGAGAAGGCUUCUAAAACUAAGUUGAGAAACUGGGAAUGUGAAUGUGUGAGUUAGAUAGAAUUAUGUUAAGUUACUGAGUGAAAAAUACAGAGUUUAGAGAUAUAGUAGUGAAUAAGAGACAAGAUGGAGGUUCUUAGGCAUUGGUUUGCCUUUGCCUUCCUUCUUCUUCAUGGAUUUUGGUAAUAUUUUUGUGAUUUUUGGAGGUGAAAAAGUUUGCAGUGCAGAACACAGGUGUUUGGUUUUUGGGUUAAAUGUAAAAAUAAGUUAGUUGUCAUUUGAUAAUUGGAUAGUUUUUGCUUAAAAGGCCUUGUGGACAGAGCCCAAGGUCACCAUUUGUAGCUUGCUAGGUUAGUGUUUAGAAGUACUUACUAUCUGUAAAAAUGCAGUAUAGAUAAGGUAAAAUAAACAUUAUAAGCCUGAAUGUGAAAACUGUCUCUCUGCUUGUCAAUCCUGAUCCUGGGGAAAAGAAGUGAACACUUUUACAUUUGGUGCCCCAGAGACUUCUACAGCAGGGCAGGUCUUUGCCUCAUGAAGGAGGGCCAGAUGGAGGAAGAAAGAGGAGAUGAUGCCCCAUGGAAAUAGAUGAAACACAUUUUGAGAAGAGGGAACCCAUCUCCCACACUGUACAGACCAGACUAACAUUACUGGAAUAUCUUCAGUAGGUUUGGCUUGAAAUCAUGAAUGGACAUAUUUCACAAUGAUUUACAAAUAUACUUUGGACUUCCUAGCAAUGUCUCAAUUGUUUAUGUGGGUAUCAAAACCCGAAACUGUGGCCUCCUCAAAUGUCCCCUAUUCUAGACUGCAUUGCCCUGUGCCUGCAAUAAACCUCUGACUUCAAAAUGGUUUGCACAAUUCUCAUUCAGCCUUCUCCAUACCAGAAAUUUUGUCCGUGGCUACUUUAUUUUGGGAAAAAAAUAGAAGAGUCCCCAAGAAAACUUUGAGCUGUGAAAAUUAUUAGUGCUUAAUAUGCAAGUUCCAAUAUACAAGCCAGAUUCAGUCCUCUGCCCAAGAGGGAGGGUAUGGAUACACCCACAUAUCAGAUCAGCUGCCCAGCAGCCAGCUAGGGCCUCAGUGGGAUGGAUCCAUCUUACACGCAGCACUGCAUCUUGUGGGUAGAUGAAACAGGAAAGGAACUUGAGGAGGGACUGGAGCACCCAUUCCUCUUGCACCAGAUGAAUGUCCCCACAGAUGAUGUUCAUGUGCUC